rnacentral:rRNA from 1 species
AAGCUUGCUUAGAUUUAGUGAGAGUGGCGCACGGGUGCGUAACGCGUGAGCAACCUACCCAUAUCAGGGGGAUAGCCCGGAGAAAUCCGGAUUAAGACCGCAUAACACAACGACUCGGCAUCGAGAUGUUGUUAAAUAUUUAUAGGAUAUGGAUGGGCUCGCGUGACAUUAGCUAGUUGGUAAGGUAACGGCUUACCAAGGCUACGAUGUCUAGGGGCUCUGAGAGGAGAAUCCCCCACACUGGUACUGAGACACGGACCAGACUCCUACGGGAGGCAGCAGUAAGGAAUAUUGGUCAAUGGAGGGAACUCUGAACCAGCCAUGCCGCGUGCAGGAUGACUGCCCUAUGGGUUGUAAACUGCUUUUGUCCAGGAAUAACCACCACUACGUGUAGUGGCUUGAAUGUACUGGAAGAAUAAGGAUCGGCUAACUCCGUGCCAGCAGCCGCGGUAAUACGGAGGAUCCGAGCGUUAUCCGGAUUUAUUGGGUUUAAAGGGUGCGUAGGCGGCUCAUUAAGUCAGGGGUGAAAGACGGCAGCUCAACUGUCGCAGUGCCUUUGAUACUGAUGAGCUUGAAUGUGGUUGAAGAUGGCGGAAUGAGACAAGUAGCGGUGAAAUGCAUAGAUAUGUCUCAGAACUCCGAUUGCGAAGGCAGCUGUCUAAGUCAUUAUUGACGCUGAUGCACGAAAGCGUGGGGAUCGAACAGGAUUAGAUACCCUGGUAGUCCACGCCCUAAACGAUGAUAACUCGAUG